AGCUGGUUGGUGAGGUAAGAGCCCACCAAGGCGAUGAUGGGUAGCCGGCCUGAGAGGGUGUACGGCCACACUGGGACUGAGAUACGGCCCAGACUCCUACGGGAGGCAGCAGCUAAGAAUAUUCCGCAAUGGACGAAAGUCUGACGGAGCGACGCCGCGUGGAUGAAGAAGGCCGAAAGGUUGUAAAGUUCUUUUGUUGGGGAAGAAUAACCAUGGGAGGGAAUGCCCGUGGGAUGACAUGAACCGACGAAUAAGCCCCGGCUAACUACGUGCCAGCAGCCGCGGUAACACGUAGGGGGCGAGCGUUGUUCGGAAUUACUGGGCGUAAAGGGCAUGUAGGCGGUCUUGUAAGCUUGGCGUGAAAGACCACGGCUCAACCGUGGGAUUGCGUUGAGAACUGCGAGGCUUGAGUGACGGAGAGGGAGCUAGAAUUCCUGGUGUAGGGGUGGAAUCUGUAGAGAUCAGGAAGAAUACCAAUGGCGAAGGCAAGCUCCUGGCCGAUGACUGACGCUGAGGUGCGAAAGUGUGGGGAUCAAACAGGAUUAGAUACCCUGGUAGUCCACACUGUAAACGAUGUGCACUAGGUGCUGGUACGGAUGUAUCAGUGCCGUAGCUAACGUGAUAAG
rnacentral:rRNA from 1 species